rnacentral:rRNA from 1 species
GACGAACGCUGGCGGCGUGCCUAAUACAUGCAAGUAGAACGCACAGUUUAUACCGUAGCUCGCUACACCAUAGACUGUGAGUUGCGAACGGGUGAGUAACGCGUAGGUAACCUGCCUGGUAGCGGGGGAUAACUAUUGGAAACGAUAGCUAAUACCGCAUAAUAUUGAUUAUUGCAUGAUAAUUGAUUGAAAGAUGCUAUUGCAUCACUACCAGAUGGACCUGCGUUGUAUUAGCUAGUAGGUGAGGUAACGGCUCACCUAGGCGACGAUACAUAGCCGACCUGAGAGGGUGAUCGGCCACACUGGGACUGAGACACGGCCCAGACUCCUACGGGAGGCAGCAGUAGGGAAUCUUCGGCAAUGGACGAAAGUCUGACCGAGCAACGCCGCGUGAGUGAAGAAGGUUUUCGGAUCGUAAAGCUCUGUUGUAAGAGAAGAACGGGUGUGAGAGUGGAAAGUUCACACUGUGACGGUAUCUUACCAGAAAGGGACGGCUAACUACGUG